CGGCGCACGGGUGCGUAACACGUGGAUAAUCUGCCCUUGAAUUCGGGAUAACCUUCCGAAAGGUUGGCUAAUACCGGGUAAGCUCACGGUGACUUCGGUCGCUGUGGGAAAAGUAGACCUCUGUUUACAAGUUUACGUUUGAGGAUGAGUCCGCGGCCCAUCAGCUAGUUGGCGGGGUAAUGGCCCACCAAGGCUACGACGGGUAGCUGGUCUGAGAGGACGAUCAGCCACACUGGAACUGAGACACGGUCCAGACUCCUACGGGAGGCAGCAGUGGGGAAUUUUCCACAAUGGGCGAAAGCCUGAUGGAGCAACGCCGCGUGUGUGAUGAAGGUCUUCGGAUCGUAAAGCACUUUCGACCGGGACGAAAAACCUCUGGCUAACAUCCAGGGGCCUGACGGUACCGGGAGAAGAAGCACCGGCUAACUCUGUGCCAGCAGCCGCGGUAAUACAGAGGGUGCAAGCGUUGUUCGGAAUUAUUGGGCGUAAAGCGCGUGUAGGCGGCUUGGCAAGUCAGAUGUGAAAGCCCAUGGCUUAACCAUGGAAGUGCGUCUGAAACUGCUGAGCUUGAGUGCCGGAGAGGAUGGCGGAAUUCCGCAAGUAGAGGUGAAAUUCGUAGAUAUGCGGAGGAACACCGGUGGCGAAGGCGGCCAUCUGGACGGCAACUGACGCUGAGACGCGAAAGCGUGGGGAGCAAACAGGAUUAGAUACCCUGGUAGUCCACGCUGUAAACGAUGAGAACUAGGUGUCGUGGGUGUUGACCCCCGCGGUGCCGUAGCUAACGCAUUAAGUUCUCCGCCUGG
rnacentral:rRNA from 1 species